UACGGGGGGGGCAAGCGUUGUUCGGAAUUACUGGGCGUAAAGGGCCAGUAGGCGGCCAACUAAGUCGGAUGUGAAAUCCCCAGGCUUAACCUGGGAACUGCAUCCGAUACUGGAUGGCUUGAAUUCGGGAGAGGGAUGCAGAAUUCCAGGUGUAGCGGUGAAAUGCGUAGAUAUCUGGAGGAAUACCGGUGGCGAAGGCGGCAUCCUGGACCGACAUUGACGCUGAGGCGCGAAAGCUAGGGUAGCAAACGGG
rnacentral:rRNA from 1 species